rnacentral:rRNA from 1 species
AUUGAACGCUGGCGGCAUGCUUUACACAUGCAAGUCGGACGAGUGGCGAACGGGUGAGUAAUGUCUGGGAAACUGCCUGAUGGAGGGGGAUAACUACUGGAAACGGUCGCUAAUACCGCAUAUCAUCGGAUGUGCCCAGAUGGGAUUAGCUUGUUGGUGGGGUAACGGCUCACCAAGGCGACGAUCCCUAGCUGGUCUGAGAGGAUGACCAGCCACACUGGAACUGAGACACGGUCCAGACUCCUACGGGAGGCAGCAGUGGGGAAUAUUGCACAAUGGGCGCAAGCCUGAUGCAGCCAUGCCGCGUGUAUGAAGAAGGCCUUCGGGUUGUAAAGUACUUUCAGCGGGGAGGCGUUACCCGCAGAAGAAGCACCGGCUAACUCCGUGCCAGCAGCCGCGGUAAUUC